UUUAAAAAAAAGUUAUAUGAAUUACAUGUUUCUCCCAAAGUAAAUAGUAAGGACAAAGUUUAGCUACAAAACCAGUUGUAGCCUUAGUGUCCAAAUCCUCCUCUGUCUCUGCCCGUUGGCCAGCCCAAAUCCUCCUCUGUCUCCACCGCUGGCCAACCACCUCAAUCCUCCACUGUGUCCACUGCCGGCGCAUUCAGUCUCCGCCGCUUCACCGCAACCAUCACUGACAACGCUGAAUUCAAGAGCUUAUACAGAUAGAAUAUCUCUGUUUCUGUUCCUUCUGCACAUGGUUGCUGCUGUUGGGUUAGUUUGUUUUCUUAUAUUUAAGGGAAUUCAAGGCCAAAUACAAGCAUCAGAAUCUAUUAAAACGAAAGAGAAAAGGGUGUUGCAGUUUUAUCUGCCACAAGUUGAAGCUGCAUCUUUUUUGAGCAUUACUCUUGCAUUGGCAUGGCAAAA